rnacentral:lncRNA from 10 species
UGUGCCCCUGCACUCUAGCCUGGGAGACAGAGCGAGACUUUGUCUCCAAAAAAGUGUUUGUGGUUGUUGGUACCCUUACUGAAAAUGGGACUAGCAUAAAUGGUGGUGAAAUGUGAUGAUAAUUCAAAAUUUACAGAAGAUUGUAAUAUUAUUUCUGUUCCCCAAGGUCCUAAGAGAUAUUUUCAUAAAAAUGAAUGGUAAACUUCAGAGAACAUUUAAAAUUAUUCAAAAUAAUCUCUUACACUCUUCUAAAUGCUUCAUUAUCUUGGGGAGGGAAA